UAAGAGAAAGAACAUGCGCAUGCGC
rnacentral:piRNA from 1 species